rnacentral:lncRNA from 1 species
GACCCAGAUAGGUUAGCUAGCAACAGCUUUCAGUAGGAGAGAAGAAGGCAAAUUACCCAGUCAGCCUAUUAAUAACCCAAAAGGACAGUACAUGGCUGAAAGCACCAUUGGUCCUGAAAUUUUUUCUGAACAUGCCAAAUCGAUUAUGACCCUUAGAAGCGAAAAAACCUUAAAUCAACCUGAAAUAACCCAACAACAAGAGCAACCAAUUCCAGCCACACCAGAAAAGAAGAACCCGA